rnacentral:tRNA from 1 species
GCCUUCGUGGUGUAAUGGUCAGCACACUGAGCCAGUAUUUCAGAGGUCCGUGGUUCGAUUCCUGGCAAAGGCA